GAUGAACGCUAGCUACAGGCUUAACACAUGCAAGUUGCGGGGCAGCAUGUCGGUUGCUUGCAACCGAUGAUGGCGACCGGCGCACGGGUGAGUAACGCGUAUCCAACCUACCCUUCACCACGGAAUAAUCCAGUGAAAAUUGGUCUAAUACCGUAUGAGGUCAUACGAUGGCAUCAGAAUAUGACGAAAGGUUUAGCGGUGAAGGAUGGGGAUGCGUCUGAUUAGCUUGUUGGUGGGGUAACGGCCUACCAAGGCGACGAUCAGUAGCCGACCUGAGAGGGUGACCGGCCACAUUGGGACUGAGACACGGCCCAAACUCCUACGGGAGGCAGCAGUGGGGAAUAUUGCACAAUGGGGGAAACCCUGAUGCAGCAACGCCGCGUGAUUGAAGAAGUAUUUCGGUAUGUAAAGAUCUAUCAGCAAGGAAGAAAAUGACGGUACUUGACUAAGAAGCCCCGGNUAACUACGUG
rnacentral:rRNA from 1 species